UCCGGCUUAACGCCGGCAGUCUCCCUAGAGUGCCCAACUGAAUGGUGGCAACUAAGGACGAGGGUUGCGCUCGUUGCGGGACUUAACCCAACACCUCACGACACGAGCUGACGACAGCCAUGCAGCACCUGUGUCCACGCCCCUUGCGGGGAGGAAUCCAUCUCUGGAAACCGUCGUGGCAUGUCAAGGGCUGGUAAGGUUCUUCGCGUUGCUUCGAAUUGAACCACAUGCUCCACCGCUUGUGCGGGCCCCCGUCAAUUCCUUUGAGUUUCAGCCUUGCGGCCGUACUCCCCAGGCGGAAUGCUUAAUGCGUUAGCUGCGCCACCGAAGAGCAUGCUCCCCAACGGCUGGCAUUCAUCGUUUACAGCUAGGACUAC
rnacentral:misc_RNA from 1 species